AACGUAGGAGACAAACGUUUAUCCGGAGUUACUGGGCGUAAAGGGUUCGUAGGUGGCCCGCUAAGUCACACGUGAAAUCCCUCAGCUUAACUGGGGAACUGCGUGUGAGACUGGCAGGCUUGAGUGCAGGAGAGGAACGCGGAAUUCCAGGUGUAGCGGUGAAAUGCGUAGAUAUCUGGAGGAACACCGGUGGCGAAGGCGGCGUUCUGGACUGUAUCUGACACUGAGGAGCGAAAGCGUGGGGAGCAAACAGG
rnacentral:rRNA from 1 species